GACGGAGGAUGCAAGCGUUAUCCGGAAUGAUUGGGCGUAAAGCGUGUGCAGGCGGCGGUUCAAGUCUGCUGUCAAAGACCGGGGCUUAACUUCGGAAAGGCAGUGGAAACUGAACAGCUAGAGUAUGGUAGGGGCAGAGGGAAUUCCUGGUGUAGCGGUGAAAUGCGUAGAGAUCAGGAAGAACAUCGGUGGCGAAGGCGCUCUGCUGGACCAUAACUGACACUCAGGGACGAAAGCUAGGGGAGCGAAUGGG
rnacentral:rRNA from 1 species